ensembl:lncRNA
UAUGAUCAUUAUUUUCUGUGGCUGUGACCCUCCAGUGACAUUGCAAUCCAAGAAACAUUGCAUUUACAACACACUGGUUGUGCUAGUGGGAUUUGCAGGGAGUAAAGAUUAGAAAUCCUUGUAGGUGCUGACUCAGCCUGACUGCACGCUACAAGCAGCUCAGAAAGCAGUCUUGAACCACUGACACUUACCAACAAGUCAGAUGUUCAUUUCACAGGUAGAUCUGCUCUGGUAGCUCAUGUCCUGGGCUGCACCAAAAGCAGCAUUUGAGCAGAAGUCUGAGGGAGGUGAUGUUUCCCCUUUCUCACUCCACUCUCAAGAGACCACACCUGCAGUACUGAGUUCAGCUCUGGGUCCCCCAGUACAAAAAGGACCGGAGCUGCUGGAGUGUGUCCAGAGGAGAUCACGAAGAUAAUCAGAGGGCUUGAGCACCCCUCGUAUGGGGUCAGGCUGAGAGAGUUGGGAUUGUUUAGCUUGGAGAAGAGAAGGCUCUGGGGAGACCUUACAGUGGCCUGCUAGAAUCUAGAGGGGUCUACCGUGGGGAGGGACUCUAUCAUGAAGUACAGUGGUCAGACAAGGGGUGUUAAACUGAGGAACGGAAGAGUUAAAUUUGAUAUAAGGAAGACAUUUUUUUUUCACUAUGAGAGCAGUGAGGCACUGAUACAGGUUGUCUAGAGAAGCUGUGGAUGCCCCAUCCCCAGAGGUGUUCAAAGCCAGUUUGGAUGGGGGCCCCAGGCAACUUGAUCUAGUGUGGGGCUGAAUGGUUUUAAGUUCCUUCCAACCCAAGCAAUUCUGUGAUGCCAUGGUUCUAUGGACUUCAAAGCCUCCUUUGUGCCCAAGCAGAGAGAGUUGUGUUACCAUGUAAUCACCCAGGGAAGUAGUUGAUGUCCCACCCACAAGGUCUUACAACCCAAAAUGCCCUGUAAGGAACCACCCUCCAUCCACAGGAGUAGAUGUCUCAAUGUAAUCAUAUCACCCAGCUAUCUGACUACAGCAGAGGGGAGCUGCGUUGACAUAUCUGAGAGAGCAGUAGUGAUGUGGGUCCCAGCAGGGGUUAAGGAAAGGAAGGUACGAACGAGUGCCUCUUCCAGAAAGGAAGGAAGUUUCUCCAGCUCUAUCCCAAUGGAUCCAUUGAGAGUUCACAUUGCCUUCAGCCGCAGUGGCCCCCACAAGGCGAUGCGAUGGCUGCCCUUUCUCCCCUGUACACAGCUUUGGCCCCUUCACUGCCCUCCCUCCUGUCAGUGACUGCUCAAGCAGUCAAGCAACGAGCCACCAGCCUGGGGAACUAAAACAUGAAAUUUCAGCACUAAAAUUCAAAAUCCGUUUCCUUUUCUUGCUUUACUAUGAGUAAGCCCCAGCUUAAUGCGCAGCUGUAUGAAUGCUGACACAAGGGAUGAGGUGCCAGAGGAUAAGAAUGAAUGGCUAGGGACUGGAAGGCUCUAGCUGUCUCUAUCAAGGAUGCUCAGUGUGCCUGGGAAACUACAGAUCCCCUGUUCCCCUGCUUCUGUGAGCACAAUGAGCAGGAAGAAGUAUAACUGUGUCUGUGGGUCACAGGAAGAAGCACACUGGCCCUGCAGCUCUCUCCAGCUCUGUUCUGAGCAGCUGAAGCUGACUCAGAGCUCCUGAUGCUGGUACUUAGUUUGUCGUUAGGAGUGGGGGUACAGAUGGAUGGAUGGACACUAUGCAUGGGGCUGAAAUAAUCUUUCCAUGGAUUUUAACCCCAUUAUGAUUUUUUAAGGCCAUGCUAUUGUAAAGAAUC